UACGUAGGGUGCGAGCGUUGUCCGGAAUUAUUGGGCGUAAAGAGCUCGUAGGCGGUCUGUCGCGUCGGUCGUGAAAACUUGGGGCUUAACCCUGAGCUUGCGGUCGAUACGGGCAUGACUGGAGUUCGGCAGGGGAGACUGGAAUUCCUGGUGUAGCGGUGAAAUGCGCAGAUAUCAGGAGGAACACCGGUGGCGAAGGCGGGCCUCUGGGCCGAUACUGACGCUGGAGGCGCGAAAGCGUGGGGAGCAAACAGGA
rnacentral:rRNA from 1 species